rnacentral:rRNA from 1 species
UACGUAGGGAGCAAGCGUUGUCCGGCAUUCCUGGGCGUAAAGCGUGCGCAGGCGGUUUGCUAAGACAGGUGUGAAAUCCCCGGGCUUAACCUGGGAACUGCGCUUGUUACUGGCAAGCUGGAGUGUGGCAGAGGGGGGUGGAAUUCCACGUGUAGCAGUGAAAUGCGUAGAGAUGUGGAGGAACACCGAUGGCGAAGGCAGCCCCCUGGGCUAACACUGACGCUCAUGCACGAAAGCGUGGGGAGCAAACAGG